rnacentral:rRNA from 1 species
GAUGAACGCUGGCGGCGUGCCUAAUACAUGCAAGUCGAGCGAACAGAUGAGGAGCUUGCUCCUCUGACGUUAGCGGUGGACGGGUGAGUAACACGUGGAUAACCUACCUAUAAGACUGGGAUAACUUCGGGAAACCGGAGCUAAUACCGGAUAAUAUAUUGCACCGCAUGGUUCAAUAGUGAAAGACGGUUUUGCUGUCACUUAUAGAUGGAUCCGCGCCGCAUUAGCUAGUUGGUAAGGUAGCGGCUUACCAAGGCAACGAUGCGUAGCCGACCUGAGAGGGUGAUCGGCCACACUGGAACUGAGACACGGUCCAGACUCCUACGGGAGGCAGCAGUAGGGAAUCUUCCGCAAUGGGCGAAAGCCUGACGGAGCAACGCCGCGUGAGUGAUGAAGGUCUUCGGAUCGUAAAACUCUGUUAUUAGGGAAGAACAAAUGUGUAAGUAACUAUGCACGUCUUGACGGUACCUAAUCAGAAAGCCACGGCUAACUACGUG